UCUCUUUUCAUCUGAAACACUUCCACUUCCACCAUGAAAGAAAUUUAUGAAACACCUCCAAAUUGAAACAAGAACGAAGGCUACGAAAAAUCUGAGGCUUAACAUAAGAUUUCAAUACAGAUCCAUGAAAACAAGCGAUUUUCUCCCAUGUUCGAUUGAUUUAUUUAUCGAAUUCCAGAGUUGUUUUUUACAUUGAAGAAAAUUGGGGGUUAAGUAAAGGAAAUUGAUUCCAAAUGAUAAGGUACUAGAUCCAGUUCUCCAACACAAGUACACAACUACUUCACUAGAAAUUCUCUCAACUAUUUGGUGAAGUCUUCACCGUGAAGAAUUUCAAGAAGCUGGUGAUGGUGUUCGAGCAGCUCAAAGUGUCCGUUGCAGCAUCUAGAAAAGUAAAAGGCUUAGUUCUGUUUGGAAGAGUUCAGAAUGGAAUGUGAUCUUGGUAAUAGCAUCCUUGAAAGGAAGGAUGCAAGUCCUGUGCCCUUGGUGUCAUAACUGAACACAAAAUGGAGACAACUAUUCUGGAUAAUGGUCAAGCUGUUAAUGUCACUGACAAACCAGGUUUUCUCUCUAUCUUCACUCUUUUUCGUUGAAACACCUCCACCACUUCCGCCAUGAAUUUUGAAACUCCUCCGCCAUCAAAGAAGAACAACGGCUACGACAAAUCUGAGGCCUAACAUCAUAUUUCAGUCCAGUUUUAUAUGAUUCUUGCAAUGGAUUCAUGGAACGACUUUUAAGGCCUCUCCUAAAAUCAAGUCAUUUGUUCACAGCGUCUCUGUUGUUCCACAAGAGAAAUUAGAGGAAUUCCUAGAAGGGUUUGCCUAGGAAUAUGAUAAGGCACCACAGAGAUUCUCGCCAUUGGGUUGAUCUCUUUAAUCAUUUUGACUUAUUCUUUGAGACGCACAUAAAGUUGAGAAAGGAUUGGCAUGUUGGAAAUGAUUCUCUUGCCAUGGAUUUUCCCUUCCAGAGAGGAGAUGUUCUCAGCGUUCUUCGCGUUAUAAGGAUCACUUUGGAGAAUUGCAUGAACAUGCAUUUCACGUUUAAAUUAAAAUAUUCAAUGAGACAACAGUUAUGGCUCACAACUUGACUAAAUCAUGUCCUUUAUCGUACAUCUUCAACCUUAAUCUCCUUUUCCUGAUUAUUUUGUUGACAUUUAUAAUGCAACAGUAUCGUUCGUCUAUGUUGGCUUCUACUGAUGCAGGCAUUGUUGAGAUAAGUCUGCUGACUUUGGUUUGGUUGAAUUCUUAAAGAAAACAAAGGGGAAGUGCUAUUUAUUUUUUCGCAAGGUUGAGGGACGUGUUGUAGAGAGAAUGGUGAUGCGGUAUCCUAUGAGUUAGGUUGUACGCUCCACUUUGAGUUAUA